rnacentral:rRNA from 1 species
UGGGGAAUCUUGCACAAUGGGCGAAAGCCUGAUGCAGCAACGCCGCGUGAGGGACGAAGGCUUUCUGAGUUGUAAACCUCUUUCAGCAGGGACGAUUGUGACGGUACCUGCAGAAGAAGCCCCGGCCAACUACGUGCCAGCAGCCGCGGUAAUACGUAGGGGGCAAGCGUUGUCCGGAUUUAUUGGGCGUAAAGAGCUCGUAGGCGGCUUGGCAAGUCGGAUGUGAAACCUCCAGGCUCAACCUGGAGUCGCCAUUCGAUACUGCUAUGGCUUGAGUUUGGUAGGGGACCACGGAAUUCCUGGUGUAGCGGUGAAAUGCGCAGAUAUCAGGAGGAACACCAGCGGCGAAGGCGGUGGUCUGGGCCAAUACUGACGCUGAGGAGCGAAAGCGUGGGGAGCGAACAGGAUUAGAUACCCCCGUAGUCC